CUGUGCUUUAUUUUAUAUAUGGUUAUGUCUUAAUGUUCCCCACACUAAAGCGUGCAAGUUUACUUACAAAGAAUGUAUAACUGCACCAAAACCUAAAACAUGCAGGGAUAGAGUAGAGUACUCGAAAAUGGGGGAGGGUACAGUAUAUGAAUGACCUGUAACCUUGGGGGGUUCGGGGCAUGCUCCCCCGAGAAAAUUUUAAAAUUUGAACCUCGGAAAUGCUAUUUCCUGCGUUUUCAGCCAUGGAUAAUUAUCUUAAGCCCAGAUUUUCUCAGGGGGGGGGGCAACAAUUUUGCCAGGGAACACCACUGGCUAUCGUAUGUCAGAGGCUCCAAAGGCGGUAGAAUCCCUGUGAUGUUAUCCACUGUUCACCCCGUGUUCUUUUAAGCAAAUGUGCCUGCUCAAAAAU